ACCUGGGUGGUGGAAACAGUUAACACACUUGGCUGCCAACCAAAAGGUUGGAAGUUCAAGUCCCCCCAGAGGUG
rnacentral:tRNA from 1 species